CCUGCCCUCGUGUCCAUCCUCCUCCCCCAGCUCCCAGAUGGGUGAGAACCCUAGCCACACUGUCUCACUCGCAGCCCUUGAUUCGCCCCUCCUCUCUCUUCCGUCUCUGGAUCUCGCCCCUCGCUCGCCGCGGGCCUUGCCGACCUAAGCCCCCCGAUCCGGGAGACUCUAGAUCCGCCGCGCGGGCGACGGCAAUGGCGUAGCUCGCGCCCCCCAGCCGUCGGGACGCGAUGGGCCGCCGCGGAGGGCUCCUCUUCCUCCUGCUGCGGAUGCUUCUCCCCGCCGCUGCUGCGCUCCAAGAGUAAAAGGCUAACAAAAAUAUUAGGUCGCCGGCGCAGACUGUAAGGCCGUCUUCCUCCCUGGCCUCUUCCACACCGUCAAGGAAGCCAUGGAGCUCAUCCUUGAGAAGCUUCUCUACUAGGGUGACCAAGUGGUUGACACUAAGGCCACAGUGGUGGCACUUGUGGUGCCCAACGCCUGUUGUGGCGCGCUCAUCGGCAAAGCAGGGGCGUUGUUUUUCCAUUAAGACAUGGCUUGAUUUGAACUAUUUGAUAGUAGUACGACUGAAGCGGCAAUAUAGAAGGAGAGGUUGUAUGCUUGGGGAGGCGGCAAGUCCAGGGAAUCUUGCGCAUAAAAUGAGAAAAUGACCAAGAAUUGCAUGUGAGGGAAUAGCAUGAGUUUAUCCCGAAUGUAUUUCAGUGUUUGUCAAGUCAUAGGAUGUAGCAACAAUGGAUAAUAAACAGUAUUUUUAUCUUCGAUAACCCGAGGCUGGCCCUUCCUCAAGCAUCACCCCCGCCCCGUCCGGUUCUCGCUCCGAGGGGUGAUGGUGGUGAGGAGGAUAGCUGCGACGCGCUUGGCAGGGGGAGAGUGGCGGACGGUCCGUGGUCGCCGCGUGUGAGAGAAGGCGAGGAAGGCGACCCGAGGUGAGUUGCCUCCAAUCCGCUUGUACUUGGUUUUUUUAACAUAUUGGCCUUCUGGGCACUUCGUAUAGAGCCCAAUAUGCGGGCAGGCUUUUGAUUACUCCAGGUUGAGUACUUGGUUUAAUCAUAUACGGACAUGCUUUAUUUUCUGUCAUUAAUGCACAAUACUUGGCAAUUCUUUUGACAUUCUCUUUAUACUACUGAGAUCUUGCUGGCACUGAAAAUAUGUAAUAUAGUUAUAUUGUCGUCCAAUUAUCUUCUUGCCGUAUUUAGUAGCUUAAAAAACAGAACCUUCCUCUGGUUUUUUACCCUUUCCUCACUGUUAUUUUUAUGUACAUAAACAAUAUACAAGUUCGGUAUAUAUAGGGUAUGACCAAGUUGGGCGACAGCUGGUUUUAGUGUUCGUGUUGAGUUCUGUCUUCGGUACCUCCAGUUUCAGUGCAAUACUUUUGGGUUUGUACUUUCUGGUUAAAAGUGGUUGAUGGACAAACAAUUAAAUUCAUUCAGCUAUCUCCAGCACUAAAUAAUAACAUACUGAGCCAACGACCUAUUGGUCCAGUGUGUGUCGCAUUUUGUACUUGCAUUUAGUAACCUACUGUGAUGUUAUAGAAGGUAUCAUAUUGGUGAUAGUCUGCAACCCAUCAUUCUUGUCAUAUGUGAUCUUAGAUUUUACUGGUAUCAUCAUGCCGGUCGAUUAGAAGAAGACAUAAUUGUUUAUGCCAGAUGUGCAUGCUCAAAGAUUUUGGUCAGCAACUUCUGGUGUUUAUCAACGAAUUCUGAAAAAAGGUGAGUUGUUAUUUGACAUUGGACCUUUAUAUCUUUUACAUGACAAUUUGCUGCCCACAGUGACAAAUAUCAUAGGAAGCUUGGUGUUUCUGCUUUGGAAUUUAUCUUUUAUUUACUAAUAUGCAUUCUUGUGAUGUUGUCUUCUACUGAUUUACAGGUCCUUGCGGUUGUUGUUCCCACGACUGUGUCGUUCGCGUUUGUACAAGGUGAGCUCUCUUAUGUUCGUCUGUUUACUCGGUCGUUCCUAGAGAAUAUAUUUCACGUGCUCUCUAUUGGUUCAUAGUGUAUCAUGCUCUCGCUUUCUUACUAUCAAGGAGAUGGAUAGUUAUAGAUUCUAGGCAUGUCCUUGGUCCCUGCAAAAGGAGUUUUUUGUUGCCUUACUUGCUUUAUUUGGUACGUUGCUCUUUUCCACUGUCGAUCAGGGACCAAAUUUGGUAUCAACCCUUGUCCUUGCUCUUUGCAGAAAUGGUUUUUGUUCUUUUGUUUGAUAUACUGGUGCUAAAAGACGAGUAGUGAGUCAGUGGCAGGGUAGUCGAGAUGGAUCUAUCUAAGUACUUAUAUAAGUAUGUUGUUGGUCUGCUUGGUUUGGUUUAUCCAGUUUUUGCGUUUAAAUGAACUAACUCAAAUUCAUAUUUAUGCUUGAUGGGUGAUUGGAUGAGAUCUUCAGAAAGGUGGUUUUAUUUACACAAGUAAACGCAAAUUCACGUCAUUUAGUUAUGGUGUGUGUGUAUAUACAGUUGAUGCUGCACUGAUCUAUAACUUGGUGUUUCUGGAACCCUAAAAAAAACUUGGUGUUUCUGGAAUUUGUAGAGUGUUUGUCUGGUAAAUGUCAUCGGUGACUUCCCUGAUAUUUCAGGAGCUCAAUUUGCAAUGCUUCUCAAACAGCUAGGUUGUUUAUCUAUUAUUUUAUUCUCCAUGUCAUCUCUGCAUCUUUUUUCUUCAGUUUAGUUAUGUGGUUUGCUAUGCAACCUUCGGUGUUGUGGUGCAUAUAACUUCUGAUGGUUUCAUUUCUGGUGGCAAAGCUAUCACCUUUUGUUGCAUCAUCAGCAUUGCUUACUUUUACUUGGGAGUAGCUUGGCUUUUAAAUUGCAGUGUUCAUAGCUAUAAUGUUUUUGUGUAUUACAUCUUACAGAUUAUUGAAAUCCCAUGGCUUUACCAGAUUGGUCAUUUUGCACCCAGCUUUCAUAGAAGAUAAAGGUUUAUUUUGUUUUGUUCAGACCUGUUUCGACUGCUGAGUUCAAUUUGCAACUCUCGUUACUUCAAAGCUUAUACAGUUAUACUACACUUCACGAGAAAUACUCGCGCAUAUGUUUUCUUAUUCAUCUCAGCACCCAUCCACAUAGAACCAUCAUUAGAAUGAGCAAAGCGUCACUUCAUUUAGAGAAGAAAGAAAGGAGAAGUAUGGCGCUAUUCCUUGAUGCUGAAGUCCUCGAAGAAAUUACAUGAAGGUGGCGAGUGACCUGAUCUUGACUAACAACCUUUUCUCUUCAGUGGUUAAUGAUUUUCUGAAGUUUCUUUGCAUGGAAAAGAGUAUGUCUAUGUUAGACCUUAUAGAAGCAUCUAUAUGCAUUUUCCCUAUGCCUGCUGCAAGAUUCAUUAUGCACACACUAUUAACUGUAAGAUUAAACUGGUAUUUAAAGAUGAGUUUAUUUCAGGUUCUACUCCCUCCGUUUUUAAAUAUAACCCUUUUAUACAUUUCAAUACGGACUACAUAUUGAUGUAUAUAGACAUAUUUUAGAGUAUAGAUUCACCUUUUUUUCCGUAUGCAAUCCCUAUUGAAAUCUCUAAAAGGUCUUAUAUUUAUGAAUAGAGGGAGUACAUUCCAAUCGCUCAUGCGGGAGAGGCUGUACGCUCAUGCUGUUCGUUUCUUGGCCUUUAUGUUGUUGCUACCUGUAUCUGUUGUAUUCCUAUGGUGGACUGUGAGAUGUAUGUCGCUGGUUGUGUUGAGUUGUUAUAUGGGAUCUGUUUGUGAUA